rnacentral:rRNA from 1 species
UACAGAGGUGGCAAGCGUUGUUCGAGAUUACUGGGCGUAAAGGGCGCGUAGGCGGCCUUCUAAGUCAGACGUGAAAUCCCCCGGCUUAACCUGGGAACUGCGUCUGAUACUGGGAGGCUUGAGUAUGGGGAGAGGGAUGUAGAAUUCCAGGUGUAGCGGUGAAAAUGCGUAGAUAUCUGGAGGAAUACCGGUGGCGAAGGCGGCAUCCUGGACCAUAACUGACGCUGAGGCGCGAAAAGCUAGGGGAGCAAACGGGG